CUGCCCAAGAGACUGGGAUAACACCUGGAAACAGAUGCUAAUACCGGAUAACAACACUAGACGCAUGUCUAGAGUUUGAAAGAUGGUUCUGCUAUCACUCUUGGAUGGACCUGCGGUGCAUUAGCUAGUUGGUAAGGUAACGGCUUACCAAGGCAAUGAUGCAUAGCCGAGUUGAGAGACUGAUCGGCCACAUUGGGACUGAGACACGGCCCAAACUCCUACGGGAGGCAGCAGUAGGGAAUCUUCCACAAUGGACGAAGGUCUGAUGGAGCAACGCCGCGUGAGUGAAGAAGGGUUUCGGCUCGUAAAGCUCUGUUGGUAGUGAAGAAAGAUAGAGGUAGUAACUGGCCUUUAUUUGACGGUAAUUACUUAGAAAGUCACGGCUAACUACGUGCCAGCAGCCGCGGUAAUACGUAGGUGGCAAGCGUUGUCCGGAUUUAUUGGGCGUAAAGCGAGUGCAGGCGGUUCAAUAAGUCUGACGUGAAAGCCUUCGGCUCAACCGGAGAAUUGCAUCAGAAACUGUUGAACUUGAGUGCAGAAGAGGAGAGUGGAACUCCAUGUGUAGCGGUGGAAUGCGUAGAUAUAUGGAAGAACACCAGUGGCGAAGGCGGCUCUCUGGUCUGCAACUGACGCUGAGGCUCGAAAGCAUGGGUAGCGAACAGGAUUAGAUACCCUGGUAGUCCAUGCCGUAAAC
rnacentral:rRNA from 1 species